rnacentral:rRNA from 1 species
UUUGAAACUGGUGAACUAGAGUACUGUAGAGGGGGGUAGAAUUUCAGGUGUAGCGGUGAAAUGCGUAGAGAUCUGAAGGAAUACCAGUGGCGAAGGCGGCCCCCUGGACAGAUACUGACACUCAGAUGCGAAAGCGUGGGGAGCAAACAGGAUUAGAUACCCUGGUAGUCCACGCCGUAAACGAUGUCUACUUGGAGGUUGUGGCCUUGAGCCGUGGCUUUCGGAGCUAACGCGUUAAGUAGACCGCCUGGGGAGUACGGUCGCAAGAUUAAAACUCAAAUGAAUUGACGGGGGCCCGCACAAGCGGUGGAGCAUGUGGUUUAAUUCGAUGCAACGCGAAGAACCUUACCUACUCUUGACAUCCAGAGAAGCCAGCGGAGACGCAGGUGUGCCUUCGGGAGCUCUGAGACAGGUGCUGCGUGGCUGUCGUCAGCUCGUGUUGUGAAAUGUUGGGUUAAGUCCCGCAACGAGCGCAACCCUUAUCCUUGUUUGCCAGCGAGUAAUGUCGGGAACUCCAGGGAGACUGCCCGUGAUAAACCGGAGGAAGGUGGGGACGACGUCUAGUCAUCAUGGCCCUUACGAGUAGGGCUACCCCCGUGCUACAAUGGCGCAUACAGAGGGC